UGUGAGAAGUGCAGGCCUGGUUUCUUCGGCGAUGCCACCAAGGGCACGGCCACCGCCUGCCACCCCUGUCCCUGUCCCUACACAGAGCCCUCACGCAGGUUCUCAGAGUCGUGCUUUCUGGACACAGACGGCCAGGCCACCUGCGACGCCUGCGCCCCUGGAUACGCCGGCCGGCGCUGCGAGAGGUGUGCCCCAGGCUACGAAGGAGACCCCAUCCAGCCAGGUGGCAAGUGCACCCCG